UUCAACAUGAUGGACUAUUGGAAAGGACUGCUAAUUUUAACUGUUGUCUGCUGGGCAGGUGUUGAUGGUCAGACUCUGACAGAAUCUGAACCAGUGGUCAAAAGGCCCGGAGAAUCCCACAGACUGACCUGCACAGCCUCUGGAUUCACAUUCAGAGACUACUGGAUGGGCUGGGUCAGACAGGCUCCUGGAAAAGCACCAGACUGGAUUGCUCUAAUCGAUUACCCUGAUGGUACUAGCACAUACUACUCUCAGUCAGUUCAAGGCCGGUUUACCAUCUCCAGAGACAACAGCAGACAGCAGGUGUAUCUGCAGAUGAACAGCCUGAAGACUGAAGAUUCUGCUGUUUAUUAUUGUGCUCGAGCCACAGUGACUGAAGGUGGUUCAGCAGCUCAUCAGAAGUCACAACUCCAGCCUCAGAAUGAUGAAUAUACUCACUCUGCUGCUGCCUGCUCUUAUUCUGUCCUGUGUUACAGGUCAGAGUAUGGAGUCCAUUCCUUCCAGUCCAGUUGUGAAAAGGCCUGGGGAGACUCUCAGUCUCUCCUGUAG